rnacentral:lncRNA from 1 species
UGGAGCCCUUCUGAAUGUCCGUUUGCGCUCAAAUUCGACAGUCAUGCGCAGUUUUACCUAACAAGAAGAACGAUAUCUUAACUUCUCAAUUUCGACCUUUUUUGUCACUGAAAGCUCUAUCGACCCAAAAUCUCUAGCAAAUAGUAGUCGGAUUUUAUUUUUCACUUUUCGGUUGUCAGAAUGACAUAAAACUUUAAAUCUAGCCUCAUAAAAAUAAUCCCGACAUUUUCGCAGAUUUUCAUAAUUUUCUGACACCGUGAAUUUUCUGCUAAAAUAUCAGCCCCGUUUCUUACAGAAAAUUCUAAAUCUUCUGUUUCCACUCCAAUUUCAGCAUAAGUCAUUUUCGACUUCUAUUUUACUUCUUUAAGUUCAAUAAAAAUAGUAUCUUACACUAUUUUUAUUUACAUCUACUUUUAUAUUAAGAAUUCGGUACAUUACAAGCAUGAACACUAGCUCCAGUAUUUAUCCACCAAUCAGAAGAACUAU